UGAGGUAUAGCUCAGUGGUAGAGUGUAUGCUUAGCAUGCACGAGGUCCUGGGUUCAAUUCCCAGUAUCUCCA
rnacentral:tRNA from 1 species